GUCAUAGUGAUGGUAGCUUGAGGAAUUGGACUGACAGACACUUGGUCAUCUCAGGCAGCCUAUUGGGAAAUAAAAGUCAUCAUAUAUCGCUCUACUCCUAGAACAAAUAGCCUCAGGUGAACAAAGCCGGAAAAGGCAUCUUCUUCUCUUCUGGGUUCCCAAACUAGAGGCUUUGUAAGUCCAAACUGAGUUUGAAAGCUCCACAGACACCAGAAGAAAAUGUUCAGGUACCUGCACUUCUCCCUCGCUGGUGCCAACAGCCAGGCAUGAUCCCUCUCUCACCCAGGACACAGACGACACAUAAUGACAGAAGACACUUAAGUCUAUACUUUCAAUCCAGCUGUGGCUGUGCCCAUCCCAGAUGUAGACAGAGGAUCCAAGGGCUAGAGCAACAAGAUUCUGAGAACUCCAGUCCAGGAUAUUGAGAUCUAUGAGAAAACGAACCGAAAUCAGCAUGAUUGUGCAGCCAAAUGGAAAUAUUUUCAAAUUAACAGCUUUAAAAGAAAGGGAGAAAGAUCAAUACCUUUGCUGCGAAUCGAUGCCAAAUGAAGUCCUGAACCAGAUCAGAUCAUUGAAAGAUCAUCAAAGAUUAAAAACUGAAACAGACUCUGAUUCAAGACUCAUAAUCUAAUGAGCAAUGUUAAGCAUCUAUGCUCAGAAAACCUGUGUAAAGAGUUUCUUUUUUGGACUUAGUGUGUUCUUCCACCAUGGAGAAUACAGAUGUAUCUUAUCUAAUAGAGCUCUAAAAAUUAAUGCCACAAAAUUUUUAUAAAAAUAUGGACCUGCCAUAUCUAUAUGGGAAAUACUACCAUCAUUUCUACUAAAAAACAAAAACAAAAGACAAACAAAAACCCGUUAAGUAUUAAAGCCAUUUUAUAAGUAGCAGUUUCUUGUUUAUACCAGCUAGUUUCCAAAUAAAUGAGACAAACUAUAAGACUUAUUUGAUAAGCUUUAUAU